rnacentral:rRNA from 1 species
GUUUGAUCCUGGCUCAGGAUGAACGCUAGCGGCAGGCUUAAUACAUGCAAGUCGUACGGGAUCCGAGGUAGCAAUACUUUGGUGAGAGUGGCGCACGGGUGCGUAACACGUAUGCAACCUACCUAUAACCGGGACACAACCUCGAGAAAUUGAGGCUAAUAUCCCAUAACACUGCGAGAUGGCAUCAUUUUGCAGUUAAAACUCCGGUGGUUAUAGAUGGGCAUGCGCGACAUUAGCUAGUUGGUGAGGUAACGGCCCACCAAGGCUACGAUGUCUAGGGGUUCUGAGAGGAUUAUCCCCCACACUGGUACUGAGACACGGACCAGACUCCUACGGGAGGCAGCAGUAAGGAAUAUUGGUCAAUGGGCGCAAGCCUGAACCAGCCAUGCCGCGUGAAGGAUGACGGCCCUAUGGGUUGUAAACUUCUUUUGUACGGGAAAAAACCUCUGGUCGAGAAUCAGAGCUGAUGGUACCGUAAGAAUAAGCAUCGGCUAACUCCGUGCCAGCAGCCGCGGUAAUACGGAGGAUGCAAGCGUUAUCCGGAUUCAUUGGGUUUAAAGGGUGCGCAGGCGGAAUAAUAAGUCAGCGGUGAAAGCCUACAGCUUAACUGUAGAACUGCCAUUGAUACUGUUAUUCUUGAGUGUUGUUGAGGUAGGCGGAAUGUGUCAUGUAGCGGUGAAAUGCUUAGAUAUGACACAGAACACCGAUCGCGAAGGCAGCUUACCAAGCAACAACUGACGCUCAUGCACGAAAGCGUGGGGAUCAAACAGGAUUAGAUACCCUGGUAGUCCACGCCGUAAACGAUGAUCACUCGAUGUUGGCGAUACACAGUCAGCGUCUUAGCGAAAGUAUUAAGUGAUCCACCUGGGGAGUACGGUCGCAAGAUUGAAACUCAAAGGAAUUGACGGGGGCCCGCACAAGCGGAGGAGCAUGU